rnacentral:rRNA from 1 species
UACGGGGGGGGCGAGCGUUGUUCGGAAUUACUGGGCGUAAAGGGCGCGUAGGCGGUUUCGGAAGUCAUGGGUGAAAGUCCUCGGCUCAACCGAGGGAUUGCCUGUGAAACCACGGGACUGGAGUGCUGGAGAGGGAAGUGGAAUUCCCAGUGUAGCGGUGAAAUGCGUAGAUAUUGGGAGGAACACCUGUGGCGAAGGCGGCUUCCUGGACAGACACUGACGCUGAGGCGCGAAAGCCAGGGGAGCAAACGGGAUUAGAUACCCGAGUA